rnacentral:tRNA from 1 species
GAGGUUAUAGCUCAGUAGUGGAGUGCAUGCCUAGCAUGCAUGAGGUCCUGGGUUCAAUCCCUAGUACCUGCA